rnacentral:rRNA from 1 species
UACAGAGGGUGCGAGCGUUAAUCGGAAUUACUGGGCGUAAAGGGCUCGUAGGUGGCCAACUAAGUCAGACGUGAAAUCCCUCGGCUUAACCGGGGAACUGCAUCUGAUACUGGAUGGCUUGAGUUUGGGAGAGGGAUGCGGAAUUCCAGGUGUAGCGGUGAAAUGCGUAGAUAUCUGGAGGAACACCGGUGGCGAAGGCGGCGUUCUGGACUGCAACUGACACUGAGGAACGAAAGCCAGGGGAGCAAACGGG